CCGGGAAUUAGUGGCGAACGGGUGAGUAACACGUGAGUAACCUGCCCUUGACUCUGGGAUAAGCCUGGGAAACCGGGUCUAAUACCGGAUAUGACCUUUCACCGCAUGGUGGGGGGUGGAAAGAUUUUUUGGUUUUGGAUGGACUCGCGGCCUAUCAGCUUGUUGGUGGGGUAAUGGCCUACCAAGGCGACGACGGGUAGCCGGCCUGAGAGGGUGACCGGCCACACUGGGACUGAGACACGGCCCAGACUCCUACGGGAGGCAGCAGUGGGGAAUAUUGCACAAUGGGCGCAAGCCUGAUGCAGCGACGCCGCGUGAGGGAUGACGGCCUUCGGGUUGUAAACCUCUUUCAGCAGGGAAGAAGCGAAAGUGACGGUACCUGCAGAAGAAGCGCCGGCUAACUACGUGCCAGCAGCCGCGGUAAUACGUAGGGCGCAAGCGUUGUCCGGAAUUAUUGGGCGUAAAGAGCUCGUAGGCGGUUUGUCGCGUCUGCUGUGAAAGCCCGGGGCUCAACCCCGGGUCUGCAGUGGGUACGGGCAGACUGGAGUGCAGUAGGGGAGACUGGAAUUCCUGGUGUA
rnacentral:rRNA from 1 species